rnacentral:tRNA from 1 species
GCCCACGUAGCUCAGUGGUAGAGCACUCCCUUGGUAAGGGAGAGGUCACCGGUUCAAUCCCGGUCGCGGGCU